GAUCCUGGCUCAGGAUGAACGCUAGCUACAGGCUUAACACAUGCAAGUCGAGGGGGCGAGCAUGGUCUUAGCUUGCUAAGGCCGAUGGCGACCGGCGCACGGGUGAGUAACGCGUAUCCAACCUGCCUUACACUCUUGGACAGCCUUCUGAAAGGGAGAUUAAUACAAGAUGUUAUCAUGGGUAAGCAUUUUCACAUGAUUAAAGGUUUACCGGUGUAAGAUGGGGAUGCGUUCCAUUAG
rnacentral:rRNA from 1 species